UACGGAGGGUGCAAGCGUUAAUCGGAAUUACUGGGCGUAAAGCGUGCGCAGGCGGUUUGUUAAGUCUGUUGUGAAAUCCCCGAGCUCAACUUGGGAAUUGCAAUGGAUACUGGCAGGCUGGAGUAUGGUAGAGGAAGGUGGAAUUCCCGGUGUAGCAGUGAAAUGCGUAGAGAUCGGGAGGAACACCAGUGGCGAAGGCGGCCUUCUGGACCAAUACUGACGCUCAUGCACGAAAGCGUGGGGAGUAAACAGG
rnacentral:rRNA from 1 species